CCUACGGGGGGCAGCAGUGAGGAAUAUUGGUCAAUGGCCGGAAGGCUGAACCAGCCAAGCCGCGUGAAGGACGAAGGUGCCAAGCAUUGUAAACUUCUUUUGUCAAGGGACAAAAUCAGGCUCGAGAGCCUGACCGAGGGUACUUGAAGAAAAAGCAUCGGAUAACUCCGUGCCAGCAGCCGAGGUAAUACGGGGGAUGCGAGCGUUAUCCGGAUUUAUGGGGUUUAAAGGGUGCGUAGGCGGGCUGUAAAGUCAGCGGUAAAAGCCCGGGGCUCAACCCCGGCGAGCCGUUGAAACUGGCUGUCUUGAGAUGUCGAGAGGUAUGCGGAAUGCGCAGUGUAGCGGUGAAAUGCUUAGAUAUUGCGCAGAACUCCGAUUGCGAAGGCAGCAUACCGGCGGCGAUCUGACGCUGAGGCACGAAAGCGUGGGUAUCGAACAGGAUUAGAUACCCGUGUAGUC
rnacentral:rRNA from 1 species